CUGGGAGCCACAAGUGAGAGCUGGGUGUCAGGUAGGGGUCAGAGGCUGGAGAGCUGCCCUAGGAGGGCACGACAAGCCCUCCAUACCAAGGUGCUACCCCUCCCUGAGCACCCAAAGAAAUUAAAGCACAGGGGAAGAAAAAGAAAAGGAAAGGAAAGAACAUCAACAAGCAGGAAAGGAACCAGAGGAGAGCAUCUAGGAGGAAAGAACUGGAAAGUAAGGAGUAUGAUGGAACAAAUUAUGCUGUAUGAAUGUAAUGGAACAUUAUUGCACUGCAAAAAGCUACUUGUACAAACUGAUGCAAAUUAAACUGACUAGACCCAGGAAAGCAAUGUAUUCAGCAACAACAUUCUAACAAAAAUAACUGAAAGGUUUAAGAAUUCUAACCAAUUCAGUGACCAAAUUUCCCGAGGACCAAUGAUGAAGCAUGUUACCUGUACCUACUUAGAGAGGUCUCAUAGCACAGAAUAAAACAUGCUUAAAUGAAAUGUGUUGUUUAUGU
rnacentral:lncRNA from 1 species